rnacentral:rRNA from 1 species
CCUACGGGAGGCAGCAGUGAGGAAUAUUGGUCAAUGGACGCAAGUCUGAACCAGCCAUGCCGCGUGCAGGAAGACGGCUCUAUGAGUUGUAAACUGCUUUUGUACGAGGGUAAACGCAGAUACGCAUAUCUUUCUGAAAGUAUCGUACGAAUAAGGAUCGGCUAACUCCGUGCCAGCAGCCGCGGUAAUCCGGAGGAUUCAAGCGUUAUCCGGAUUUAUUGGGUUUAAAGGGUGCGUAGGCGGUCGGAUAAGUUAGAGGUGAAAUCCCGAGGCUCAACUUCGGAAUUGCCUCUGAUACUGUUCGGCUAGAGAGUAGUUGCGGUAGGCGGAAUGUAUGGUGUAGCGGUGAAAUGCUUAGAGAUCAUACAGAACACCGAUUGCGAAGGCAGCUUACCAAGCUACUUCUGACGUUGAGGCACGAAAUCGUGGGGAGCAAACAGGAUUAGAUACCCGGGUAGUC